GGGCCCGCACAAGCGGUGGAGCAUGUGGUUUAAUUCGAAGCAACGCGCAGAACCUUACCCAGGCUUGACAUCCUCAGAACCUCUUGGAAACAAGAGGGUGCCCUCUCACGAGGGAAUUGAGUGACAGGUGCUGCAUGGCUGUCGUCAGCUCGUGCUGUGAGGUGUUCGGUUAAGUCCGGCAACGAGCGCAACCCCUGUCGCUAGUUACCAGCAUUUAGUUGGGGACUCUAGCGAGACUGCCGGUGAUAAACCGGAGGAAGGUGGGGACGACGUCAAGUCCUCAUGGCCCUUAUGUCUGGGGCUACACACGUGCUACAAUGGCAUCUACAGAAGGCAGCGAAGUCGCAAGGCGGAGCAAA
rnacentral:rRNA from 1 species